GACGAACGCUGGCGGCGUGCCUAAUACAUGCAAGUUGAGCGCUGAAGGUUGGUACUUGUACCGACUGGAUGAGCAGCGAACGGGUGAGUAACGCGUGGGGAAUCUGCCUUUGAGCGGGGGACAACAUUUGGAAAUGAAUGCUAAUACCGCAUAAAAACUUUAAACACAAGUUUUAAGUUUGAAAGAUGCAAUUGCAUCACUCAAAGAUGAUCCCGCGUUGUAUUAGCUAGUUGGUGAGGUAAAGGCUCACCAAGGCGAUGAUACAUAGCCGACCUGAGAGGGUGAUCGGCCACAUUGGGACUGAGACACGGCCCAAACUCCUACGGGAGGCAGCAGUAGGGAAUCUUCGGCAAUGGACGAAAGUCUGACCGAGCAACGCCGCGUGAGUGAAGAAGGUUUUCGGAUCGUAAAACUCUGUUGGUAGAGAAGAACGUUGGUGAGAGUGGAAAGCUCAUCAAGUGACGGUAACUACCCAGAAAGGGACGGCUAACUACGUG
rnacentral:rRNA from 1 species